rnacentral:rRNA from 1 species
UACAGAGGGUGCAAGCGUUGUUCGGAAUUAUUGGGCGUAAAGGGCUCGUAGGCGGUUUGUCGCGUCGGGAGUGAAAACACUGGGCUUAACCGAGUGCUUGCUUUCGAUACGGGCAAACUAGAAUUCGGUAGGGGAGACUGGAAUUCCUGGUGUAGCGGUGAAAUGCGCAGAUAUCAGGAGGAACACCGGUGGCGAAGGCGGGUCUCUGGGCCGAUAUUGACGCUGAGGAGCGAAAGCGUGGGGAGCAAACAGG